UGGGGGAUAUUGCACAAUGGGCGAAAGCCUGAUGCAGCGACGCCGCGUGGGGGAUGAAGGCCUUCGGGUUGUAAACUUCCUUUGCUCUGAACAAGGCGCACCAUGGGGUGUGUUGAGUGUAGGGGUUGAUUAGCGCCGGCUAACUACGUGCCAGCAGCCGCGGUAAUACGUAGGGCGCGAGCGUUGUCCGGAAUUAUUGGGCGUAAAGGGCUUGUAGGUGGCUGGUUGCGUCUGUCGUGAAAGCUCAUGGCUUAACUGUGGGUUUGCGGUGGGUACGGGCUGGCUUGAGUGCAGUAGGGGAGGCUGGAAUUCCUGGUGUAGCGGUGGAAUGCGCAGAUAUCAGGAGGAAUACCGGUGGCGAAGGCGGGUCUCUGGGCUGUUACUGACACUGAGGAGCGAAAGCAUGGGGAGCGAACAGG
rnacentral:rRNA from 1 species